GGUGGCGAUGGUGUUAUAGGCAGUGUCAUGACUCCUGUAAGGAUCAGAAUGGGUCGGAUGAGACUUGUGGGGGGUGACAGUAAUCAGACCUCUUUCUCCCACAGAGGGGAGAGGGGGAGCUGCUGGAUGGUCGACCAUUCACACCCGGUUGUUAAUUACAAGAGAGGGAGACUCUCUUUUGCCCUCCCAAAACUGUAACGUCCAAAUGUAGAUAAUGGAACAAUAAUUUUAAUGUGGGAAAUGGUCAGUGGGGAACUAUGGAAAACAAAUGUAAUAUUGGUUUUCAUUUUCUGAUGUGAUUAAAAACUGUAUGAACCAAAUACUGUAACUUGGAAAGGAUACCCCUUUAUCUGUCAAGUUUUCAUCCAAUAUGUCGUGCAUACAAUAUUUUGUUAAGAUAGGAAUGUGAUUUUAGUUUUCUAAUAAGUUAAUAGUUUUGAUAUCCUUUGCACAUUAUGUAGCCAUGCCCUGAGUGAGGUCGGAGAGCUUGCCAUUAUUGACGGUCCGCCCCUUUUGACUAAGAGUGCAUAAAGGCUUGGAAGGGAAAUCAACAUUUAGACCAGGAAAGGUGAGGCGAGAGCUACAUGUUUUAAAUGGUUGAAACUAAACCUCAACACGCGGUAGAGAAAUAAACGUACCUUCCUUUAGACCAGAGAGACGAAGAGCUGCAGCUCAUGUCCAUCGUGGUCUAAAGCCUGAAUACCAACACGAGGAGGAAGAGGCGAGAAGCUCAUCUCAGACAAUCACUGAGUGAACAACAGUAGAAGACGGGAAAGGGGAGACCCCUUUCGGACAAUCAGAGCCAUACAGCUGGAAGGCCAACAACUUUCCGAAAAGGCUUGGAUCCGACCGAGAUAAACAACGAACGAAGGCAUUUCACACGUAAAUACAUUCAUGAUUUCUUAAUUCAAAUGGGUGGCGGUUUGUGUGCAAGGUAUAUGAUUAAUGUGAGGACAGUCCUAGAAUGUAUACAUGAUGUAUACAAGUGUGCCUUUUUCUUUCUCUCUCUCUUCCCCCCUCUCCAUCUAUGUUGUAACAAGCCGUCAUAUCAACGUGUACGACAGCUAUUCCAGUUCCCAACAAAAUACAGCAGCUUCUCAAAUCCAUUGAAGAGGAGUGGGACAACAUUCCACAGGUCGCAUUCAACAGCCUGAUCAACUCUAUACGAAGGAGAUGUGUCGCGCUGCAUGAGGCAAAUGGUGGUCACACCAGAUACUGACUGGUUUUCUGAUCCACGCCCUACCUUUAAAUAAAUUUAAAAAAUCUGUGAUGAACAGAUGCAUAUCUGUAUUCCCAGUCAUGUGAAAUCCAUAGAGUAGGGCCUAAUUUAUUUAUUUCAAUUGACUGAUUUCCUUAUAUGAACUGUAACUCAGUAAAAUCUUUGAAACUGUUGUAUGUUAGUUAGAUUACUUGUUGGUUAUUACUGCAUUGUCGGAACUAGAAGCACAAGCAUUUCGCUACACUCGCAUUAACAUCUGCUAACCAUGUGUAUGUGACAAAUAAAAUCAAAUAAAUACAAAUAAAUAAAUAAGAUUUGAUUUGAUGUUGCGUUUAUAAUUUUUGAAUCUACCAAUUGGUGCUGAAACAGAGACGAAUAUGCAUAUAUUUAGACGGAUUUCUUUCAUUGACGCCUAACAUUCUAAACCCGAUAUAUAUAACUAGAUAUGUUCUAUUGAGUCUGUCGUCAAAAUUCAAACUAAAAGGUACACAAUAUUUAAUGGUUUGGCUUAAGAUAAAUGUACUAAAAACCCUAUUGAAUGAGUUUUUCCUAGCCACUGUGCUUCUAUACCUGCAUUGCUUGCUGUUUGGGAUUUUAGGCUGGGUUUCUGUACAGCACUUUGAUAAAUCAGCUGAUGUAAGAAGGGCUAUAUAAAUACAUUUGAUUUGACAUUGAAUGAAAACUUCAUGAGAAAAUCCGUUGGCCAGUUAAGUAGGAGGGUUUGCAGCGGUUGAAUUACCACACCAGUAAAUACUUAUGUAAAUGAGAUAUUUCUGUAAUUCAUUUUAAAUAAAUUUGCUAACUUUUUUAUA